GGCUCAAUGGGUAGUGAUCAACAACUUGAUGUCUGAUUGGCACCACCAGGGGUUGGUGCUGGGGCUGGUUUUGUUCAACAUCUUUAUUAAUGAUCAUAGAAUAUUAGGGUUGAAAGGGAUGUUAGGAGGUCCUCUAGUCCAACCCCCUGCUCAAAGCAGGAUCAAUCCCCAACUAAAUCAUCCCAGCCAGGGCUUUGUCAAGCCUGACCUUAAAAACCUCUAAGGAAGGAAAUUCCACCACCUCCCUAGGUAACGCAUUCCAGUGCUUCUCCACCCUCCUAGUGAAAAAGUUUUUCCUAAUAUCCAACCUAAACCUCCCCCACUGCAACUUGAGACCAUUACUCCUUGUUCUCUCAUCUGCUACCACUGAGAACAGUCUAGCUCCAUCCUCUUUGGAACCUCCUUUCAGAUAGCUGAAAGCAAUCCCCCGUCAUUCUUCUCUUCUGCAAAAGAAACAAUCCCAGUUCCCUCAGCCUCUCCUCAUAAGUUAUGUGCUCCAGCCUCUUAAUCAUUUUUGUUGCCCUCCGUUGGACUUUUUCCAAUUUUUCCACACCCUUGUUGUAGAGUGGGGCCCAAAACUGGACACAGUACUCCAGAUGGGGCCUCACCAAUGCCAAAUAGAGGGGAACAAUCACAUCUCUCAAUCUGCUGGCAGUGCCCCUAAUUAUGCAGCCCAAAAUGCCGUUAGCCUUCUUGGCAACAAGGGCACACUGUUGACUCAUAUCCAGCUUCUCAUUCACUGUAAUCCCUAGGUCCUUUUCUGUGGAACUGCUGCCUAGCCAUUCGGUCCCUAGUUUGUAGCAGUGCAUGGGAUUCUUCCUUCCUAAGUGCAGGACUCUGCACUUGUCCUUGUUGAACCUCAUCAGAUUUCUUUUGGCCCAAUCCUCUAAUUUGUCUAGGAUCCUCUGUAUCCUAUCCCUACCUUCCAGCGUAUCUACCACUCCUCUCAGUUUAGUGUCAUCUGCAAACUUGCUGAGGGUGCAGUCCACACCAUCCUUCAGAUCAUUAAUGAAGAUAUUGAACAAAACCGGCCCCAGGACCAAUCCUUGGCACUCUCCGCUUGAUACUGACUGCCAACUAGACAUGGAGCCGUUGAUCACUACCCACUGAGCCCGAUGAUCUAGCCAGCUUUCUAUCCACCUUAUACUCCAUUCAUCCAGCCUAUACUUCUUUAACUUGCCAGCAAGAAUACUGUGGGAGACCAUAUCAAAAGGUUUGCUAAAGUCAAGGAAUAACAUGUCCACUGCUUUCCCCUCAUCCGCAGACCCAGUUAUCUCCUCAUAGAAGGCAAUUAGGUUAGUCAGCCAUGACUUGCCCUUGGUGAAUCCAUGCUGACUGUUCCUGAUCACUUUCCUCUCCUCUAAGUGCUUCAGAAUUGAUUCCUUGAGGACCUGCUCCAUGACUUUUCCAGGGUCGAAGGCAACGGCUGAUCACCGCAUACCAACAUCGCAGUCCCUGGUACCAGCCCAAAGCAGCGUGCUGGGGUUGGGGUCAGGGCCAACUCCAUCAGACUGGCCCAGAGCCUAAUGUCUCUUUCCCUUUUGGUCCAGGGCCUAAAUAAUUUGCAUAUUUUGCAUCUUUCACUGAUGUAGGUCUCUCCCAAACAGUGCAAAGUCUGUGUGCGGGUCACUACUUGGCAUAGGACACUGACAAGAACCGCACACCUUAAAUCCCGGGGCUUGAGGCAUGCCCCAGCCCGGGCUCACUGACUAAUUAAACAGCUAACUAACUACAGAUACUAAAAGUACGAACAGUUCUGGGCCGAGCUACAUCGAAGCUGGAGCAGAGCAGUUCCAACGCACCUUCACUGGUGAGAAGAAGGAACUGAGGGUCGGGGGAGUGCACAGCUCCCCUUACACCAUGCCAGGCAUGUACCACUCCAGGGGCGCACACUCCCCACGGGUACUGCUAGGGGGAAAGCUUCCGGCACCAGUGCGUGUGGUGAACAUGCAAAUCUACUGUGGAAUACACAUGAGUAAUCACUCAAAGAAUAUGUAUUAAGGAUAUAACAACCAACAAGAAUGCACUUUUAUCUAGAAAACCAUGAUUAAAUUGAGUCUUCCUGA